rnacentral:rRNA from 1 species
UACGUAGGGUGCAAGCGUUAAUCGGAAUUACUGGGCGUAAAGCGUGCGCAGGCGGCCAUGCAAGACAGUGGUGAAAUCCCCGGGCUCAACCUGGGAACUGCCAUUGUGACUGCAUGGCUGGAGUGCGGCAGAGGGGGAUGGAAUUCCGCGUGUAGCAGUGAAAUGCGUAGAUAUGCGGAGGAACACCGAUGGCGAAGGCAAUCCCCUGGGCCUGCACUGACGCUCAUGCACGAAAGCGUGGGGAGCAAACAGGAUUAGAUACCCUGGUAGUCCACGCCCUAAACGAUGUCAACUGGUUGUUGGGGAUUUAUUUCUUCAGUAACGAAGCUAACGCGUGAAGUUGACCGCCUGGGGAGUACGGCCGCAAGGUUGAA